CAGCCGUAAACUAUGCGCGUUAGGUGUACUGGUGACCACGAGUCACCGGGGUGCCGAAGGGAAACCGUGAAACGUGCCGCCUGGGAAGUACGGUCGCAAGGCUGAAACUUAAAGGAAUUGGCGGGGGAGCACCACAACGGGUGGAGCCCGCGGUUUAAUUGGACUCAACGCCGGAAAUCUCACCGGAUAGGACAGACAUAUGAUAGUCGGGCUGAAGACUCUACUUGAUGAUCUGAGAGGAGGUGCAUGGCGUCAGUGACU
rnacentral:rRNA from 1 species